rnacentral:rRNA from 1 species
AGAGUUUGAUCAUGGCUCAGGAUAAACGCUGGCGGCGUGCCUAAUGCAUGCAAGUCGAACGGUCUAAUUCCUUCGGGAGUUAGGUAGUGGCAAACGGGUGAGUAACACGUGGGGAUCUGCCCAGUAGUGGGGAACAACUCCUCGAAAGAGGAGCUAAUACCGCAUACGGUCUGUGUCGAGGGGCACGAGACUAAAGUCAGAAAUGGCGCUAUUGGAGGAACCUGCGGCUGAUUAGCUAGUUGGUGGGGUAAAGGCCUAUCAAGGCGAUGAUCAGUAGCUGGUCUGAGAGGAUGGACAGCCACACUGGGACUGAGAUACGGCCCAGACUCCUACGGGAGGCAGCAGCAAGGAAUUUUCGUCAAUGGGGGAAACCCUGAACGAGCAACGCCGCGUGGGCGAAGAAGUCUUUCGGGAUGUAAAGCCCUUUUCCCUGUGAAGAAAGAAAGACGGUAACAGGGGAAUAAGCAUCGGCUAACUACGUGCCAGCAGCCGCGGUAAUACGUAGGAUGCAAGCGUUGUCCGGAAUUAUUGGGCGUAAAGAGCGCGCAGGCGGUAACUCAAGUCAGAUGUGAAAUAUCCGGGCUUAACCCGGAGGGGUCAUUUUGAAACUGAGUAACUAGAGUACAGCAGAGGAUAGCGGAAUUCCCGGUGUAGUGGUGAAAUGCGUAGAUAUCGGGAGGAACACCAGUGGCGAAGGCGGCUAUCUGGGCUGAAACUGACGCUGAGGCGCGAAGGCUAGGGGAGCAAACAGGAUUAGAUACCCUAGUAGUCC